rnacentral:rRNA from 1 species
GCUAACGCUGGCGGCGUGUCUUAGCCAUGCAAGUCGAGCGGACUUAUGGGGUAACUUAUAAGUCAGCGGCGGACGGCGGAGUAACACGUAGCUAACCUACCCUCUGGACGGGGAUAACCUACCGAAAGGUGGGCUAAUACCCGAUGUAGUCAUCCUGUAUAGGGGUGAUGAAAGGUGGGCUUCUGUUUACAAGCUCAUGCUGGAGGAGGGGGCUGCGGCCUAUCAGGUAGUUGGUAGGGUAAUAGCCUACCAAGCCGAUGACGGGUAGCCGGCCUGAGAGGGUGACCGGCCCGAGGGGCACUGAGAUACGGGUCCCACUCCUACGGGAGGCAGCAGGCUAGAAAUUUGGGCAAUGGGGGAAACCCUGACCCAGUGACGCCGCGUGCAGGAAGGAGCCCUUCGGGGUGUAAACUGCUGUCGUGUAGGGAGAAGGGUACUAAGGUGAAUAAUCUUAGUACUUGACGGUACUACAGGAGGAAGCCCAGGCUAACCUCGUG